GACGAACGCUGGCGGCGUGCCUAAUACAUGCGAGUCGAGCGAACAGAAGAGGAGCUUGCUCCUAUGUCGAUAGCGGCGGACGGGUGAGUAACACGUGGAUAACCUACCUAUAAGACUGGGACAACUUCGGGAAACCGGAGCUAAUACCGGAUAAUAUCUUGAACCGUAUGGUUCAAUAGUGAAAGACGGUUUUGCUGUACCUAAUGGAUGGAUCCGCGCCGCUUUAGCUAGUUGGUAGGGAAACGGCUUACCAAGGCGAGGAGGCGUAGCCGACCGAAGAGGGUGAUCGCCCACACUGGACCGGAGACACGGUCCAGACGCCUACGGGAGGCAGCAGAAGGGAACCUUCGGCAAUGGGCGAAAGCCUGCCGGAGCAACGCGGCGUGGGUGAGAAAGGUCUUCGGUUCGUAAACCUCUGUUGUUGGGGAAGAACAAAUGUGGAAGUAAAUGUGCACGUCUUGACGGUACCUAAUCAGAAAGCGACGGCUAACUACGUG
rnacentral:rRNA from 1 species